rnacentral:lncRNA from 1 species
CGCGAUUUACAGUAAGCAAAACUCUAGCUCUCUCAUUAUCGUCAUCUGUACACAUGUUCAGGGUGGAUUAACACCCCUAAUUGCCUGUCUUCACCUCUGCAAAUUGUUCUCACCACAUCUUCUCUCACUCCCUUUCCACCGCCAUUACAGUAAGCAAAACUCUCGCUCUCUCAUUAUCGCCAUCUGUACAGAUUUUCAGGGUGGAUUAACACCCCCUAAUUGCCUGUCUUCACCUCUGCAAAUUGGUCUCACCACAUCUUCUCUACUCCCCUUCCACCGCCAUUUACAGUAAGCAAAACUCCAGCUCUCUCAUUAUCGUCAUCUGUACACAUUUUCAGGGUGGAUUAACACCCCUACUUGCCUGUCUUCACCUCUGCAAAUUGUUCUCACCACAUCUUCUCCAUGGCAACAGCUGCUCUUUUUCAUGGCACCUCUUUACCCUUUUUCCGGUGCAAUACCAGAUGCACGAU